rnacentral:lncRNA from 1 species
GGAGGACAAAGGCUUUUUUCCUUGGACUUGACAUUAAAUAAAAUCUUUUUGUCUCUGAGAUGAAGCUCCCUUUGAGCUAGGAGUAGGGCAACAGAGUUCAAGCCUGCUGUCCUGAAAAAUGCAUCCUUACUGCUCAAUCUGCUAUUAUAAUUAAGUACUUACUUGGAUUGAAGGAGUAUUUAAAGAUGUUUUUGGAGUUGGACUAAAUGGAAUCUCUAUGGAAAAAGGUUUUUAUUUAAUUUUUGGAAUCUGUUGAGGUAAGAUAAAGAAGUGGAACCCACUUAAUUAAUUGGUUUAUUUAUCUGGGUUUUCUGGAAGUUAAUGUAUGUAGAGUUCUGAAUUUUUUAAUAAAAUUUGAUCGUUUAUCAUCAGCGUGCAAGAGGUAUUUCAAGGUCUUAUUUCCAGGUUCCAUGUUUUUUAUCGUUGUAUUUGAUGUUAUUUCCUUCGACAGGCCAUUGAUAAUGUUAAUGAGAGUAUAUCUCCCAUACUUGCUCCUCAGAGAAUAUGAAAUUUCACGAAUGAACACGGUAUAUCUAUUCUUGAUGAGGAGUUUUAUCUUUAGCAUCAAAGCUAGUAGUGAACACUUACUUAUAAGAUCUGGAACGAAUCCUAUUUUGAAAAUAUUAUAGAAGACCUUUUCAGGAAUGGGUCCUAGUGGAGUACCUAAAAACAUUCGAAAGGUAGCCCGAAAAGCCCUGGAGAUUUCAAUUGACUAUCAUAUUCUCAGCUCUUUGAAUAUUUUGGAGGAUUUGCAUGCUAUUUAUCGAAAUUCCUCUAUGUGACAUUCCUUAUUGGCUUGAGCGUAAAUAAAGAUAUUGAAACUCUGAAAUAGUUCAAGUUGGAAUAAAGAGCACCUGAGAUGAUACCCCCAAAUGCAUACAAAACCGAGUUAACAAUUAGACCCUCGAGUCGGAGUUUCAAUCAGUCAAUGUUUCAUUCUUCAGUAGUUAACACCACUAAAGCCAUGCCUCCAGUUCCAAAUAAUAAAGUUGUUAAAAGCAAGAAAUUUCAUGUUGGUAGAUAUAAGAAAAGACAGCAUAGACGUCGGGAAUUCGCAUCAAGUAAAUACAACACCGAUAACCGACUACAAAGAACCUCUUUAUAUUCAUCCCCUUCAACAUUGUCGACACUUGGAUCGGAUAUUAAUUGGCUAAAAAAUGGAAUGGAUACAAAUCCGCGAAAGAGCCAUCCCAGUCCUUGUCUGAGCAAAAGGCGAAAUCUGAAACAACAACUGAGAAGAAAUCCAAGAGUUGGGCGGAAUGGAAAGAAAAGGGAAAUGUAGAAAUCGAAAUAAAGACAUGCAGAUCCCCUGCCAUAAAAUUUGAUACUCCACUCUAUGAACUACAAUCUCCAAAAGAUAUUCCCUUUUUUGAUCUCUCAUCUAAUGAAGAGAAUUGGAGAGAAUUUAAGACUCUGAAGGGGAAAUGCAACAAUGACAUAAUAACAAGAAUUCCUUUAGUAAAGAAUCUUGUUCCAUCCUGUCAUGACGCUACUGUAAAUGACAUAUACAAUUUGAACGGUAGUAUCCAAUGUGGUGUUUGUGGGAUUCGUUUUUCACUUGAGGAA